rnacentral:lncRNA from 1 species
AUUUAACUUACUAUUUAAGAAGCAACUAUAUUUCAAAAAUCAUCUUUCUAUCUACGGCUCUGCUAUUCCACAUAUUGGUAAGUUUUCAAUUAUUUUCUUACAAACGGUAUUCUUGUUGUUUUAAUUUGUCCAAUACAAUUUAUUAUCGCUAUUUUGUGCAUUUUUCUUUUGAUGUUUUUUGUGAUUAAUUUCAUAUCAUGCUUCUUGCUUGAGAUGGAAAAAUUAUCGUUAGAAACUAAGGAGGCCACGUUGCGUUGCUAACGAAAUUGAGAUGAAAUUGACAACGUCGUCAUAGGUAAAAUAGCGAUAAACAGAUUAUCAUUGGUCAUCUCAACUCGAUUGCUUUUCUCCCUUUCGCUGUACCAGCUCAAGCGAGGAAAUCAAUCUCGUUGAGAUGCUCAACGAUAAUCUAUAAAUAUGUAACAUAUAGUGAAACCUGGCUUAACCGAAUCCUGUAUAAACCGAAAACCUGUAUAAACAAAGUUUGUUUUUAAAAACCGUCAUACCAACUGUAUGCGUUGUGAAUCUACUUAAACCUAACAUCGGCCAAAACCGAACAAAAUCUUAAGUCCCAAAGAGGUUCGGUUUAAACAAGUUUCAAUGUAACAGAGUAUUUAAUUAGAUAACUUUCAUCUCAUCUAAACAUCAAAUGUGCAAUUGGCACUCACACCACAUCUUCCUAUAUCUAAUUAAAGUUUAAUUGAAAGAUAAAAUAUUACUUUACUUUAACAAUUUACCAAAAGUUGCCUAGCCGUUAAAUUUCAAUGUAAUGUUUUUACCUGACAAUUUUUUUUUUUUUUUACCGUUGUAGUGGCUGGUUUUGAGAUAUUUAUGUCUUUUUUUCGAAUGCCACCUUUUUAUACUCUCUCUAAUAUUUUAAUGCAUGUACCCGUUAGGAAGAUGCAUUACUUUCUGAAAUUUCAAUGUGUUCUGCGGCUGUUUGAAUAUAUAAAAAGAAAAUGUAGUAUUAUUGCUAAUAAGACAACUGUCCACAAGAGCCCAAAAUGACACAUUAAUUAACAACUUUAGGUCACCGUACGGCCUUCAACAACGAUCAAAGUCCAUACCGCAUAGUCAGCUAUAAAAGGCACCGACAUGAAAGAGUAAAACAGUUCAAACGAGAAAACUAACGACCUUAUUUAUACGGUUGGGUGCAGACCAAGCAUUUCAUGUUACUGUUUGUAGUAAACGCGCGUUAACGUAGAUUGUACUCGUAUCCUUGAUACACUGACCUAAUAUAUCACAUGAUAAGGUACAUCAAAAUAUCCAUCUGUCCAUUUUCGAUCAACAUAUUGACGAUUGCAUUUAAUGAAAUGACACUUCUUUAAUUAAUUUAUUGAAAAUUUUUUUUUUUAAAUAUGCCAGUUUAAUUGUGAGUCGAUAUUUGUACAUGUAAAUUUUGAACAGAAAAAUAGAAAAUCCGCUGUUGAAUGUUUUUGGAACUGACUUUUUUUGCAAUUAAUAAAUGUUUAUAUUUCUAAUAGAAAGUAUUUUUGAUUGUUAAGGUUCAAAACACAUAUACGUAAAAUAUUAAGCUAGUGAAAUCUGAAGUAAAUGGCCGUUUACUACUGACUAAACGGACACAGAGUUAACGCGCGUUUAAUCGAGUAGACAUUAUAAUUUCCCAUUUUGACCGCGUUAACGUAAAUGAAGUAACGGGCGUUUACUGUAACGCUAAAUUUAAAGUCAACUAACGAAUAUGUGAAAACUUGCGUUUACUUUAUGUAAUGCUUGGUCUGCACCCAACUGUAUUAAAAAAUGAACGAAAAACAAAUACAACACAUACACAAACGACAACCACUGAUUAACAGGCUUCUGACUUGAGAAUGCCACAUACAUAUUUAAAAUCCAUAAUAUAUGUUAAUUAUUAAAGACACAAUAGACUAUUCUGAUUCAAAUCAAACAAAACAAAAAACUAUAUUGAAAGGCGGAUAGGAUUUUAAAAAAUCCCUAAAAUACUAAUUUCAAAAUUAAAAAGAGGUUGAAAUGACAAACAGACAUUCGAACACCGAACAGACUAAACAUAUAAACUUUGUUAGCAAUGAAAAAUCGUGUCAGUACAGCCUGGUAACAAAUAUAUAUUCUGAAUUAGUUAGUUCAUUGUCAAGCUUUAUUCGGAUCAUGGUACAUUUCCGUUACAGAACAAGGAGUAUUAUAUGUUAAUAUUGCACAACACAUACUUUUCUUGAUAUUACAUUAUAAAUAACAAGUAAUUAAGUUUUAUCUAAUAAUAAGUCAUACCAAAUUUGUAAAUUUUAGGAUGAUUUCUUAUCCUUAAACUUGACUGAAAACAAAAUGUUGAAUUUAAAACACGUUUUUCAUAGAUAAGACUGUAAAUAGUUAUCAAAGGUACCAGGAUUAUAAUUCAGUACGCCAUACGCGCGUUUGGUCUUCAUAAGACUCGUAAGUGACGCUCAUAUCAAAAUAGUAGUAAAGCCAAACAAGUACAAAGUUGAAGAGCAUUCAGAGUUCAAAAUUCAUAAAAGUUGUGCCAAAUACGGCUAAGGUAAUCUAUUCCUGGGAUAAAAAAAUACUUAGUUUUUCGAAAAUUCAAAGUUUUGUAAUACUUACAUGUAUAAGCAACAAUGACAUUCAAAAUAGAAAAUCACAAAGAACAAAACACGAAGAAUUCCACAUUUUUUUUAUUGUUGACAGUCCGAUUACCCAUUUCGUUUUUAACACAUGAAAAGUGAAUUACAGUGGUGUUGAUAAGUAAUGCUCGUUAUCAAGAUACUUUGAAAGCAAAACUUUAAACCUCUUUAAUGUUUACAACCUGACAGUACUUUUAUAAAUCAUAUAAACCCUUCUACUGGUAAGUAGGGACUAUGGUUUGAAAACUGUUACAUGUUUUUGGAACUUCAAAUAAGCGAUCAAAAUAUAAUAUUUAAUGCAUACAGGCUCACUGUGCUUACUUCUGGGUUACAUUUUUUUCUAAAUAAAUCCGUAUUUGAAGACAAAACUUUGGCGUCCUGCGUAAAUAUAUUAAAAUUUCAAUCCUUUAUCGAUAAUGAGUUUAUUUCUAAAUAACAUGGAAUAUAAAUUGAUACGGAUGAGAUCUCAUUUCAGAAUUAUGAUGAAGUGGUGUUGUUUGAUUGUUUUCAUCUUUUGCACAAUUGGUGUGUCAAAGGGCGGCAGUAAGUAUCCUAUAUGUUUAAAACACUGUAGUGAAGAUUAAAGAUUAAGCUGCUAGACUCUCUCAUAAUAUAAAAAGGUACGGUCAUAUCACUGUGAUCAAAAGUUCUUCUUUCGAGAGUCAAAAGAUACAGACAUCGUUUGAACCUUUUUGUGUUACAGAUAUUCAAUCAUGUUAACACAGUUAUCUACCGUUUGUUUUUAUAGUAAAUUGGGGAUAGAUACCUUCAGUUUACAACGAUAAUAUCAGUACUUUUGUCGAGCUACGAAACUGUACAAAACUGUUCAAUGCUACUCUCUUAGUUAACAUAAGAACAAUAAUAACAAAAUCUGCAUUUAAGAAGAACUAAUUUUAAAACAUUUUAAGCAGAUCUACGAGCAUCUCGAGCAAACUUAGUAACUUAGCUACUCGCUUGAGAUGGAAAAUUAUCGCUAGAAACUUAGGAGGAACGUGGCUUUGCUAACGAAAUUGACAUAACAUUGACAACGUCAUCAUAGGUAAAAUAGCGAUCAACAGACUUUCUCGCUUUCGCUGUCCCGGUUCAAGCGAAAAUCAAUCUCGUUGAAUGAUACGAUAAUACAUAAAUAUCAAAGGAAAAUCACUAUAUAUUGUAUCGGAGUACUCUACUAUAAUGCUCUUUCAGAAAAAUGCCUCGCCUCCAAUGGUAAAUGUGGGAAAAAAAAUGUGUCAUGUAAUGAGACGUUCGGACCUGAAUGGACGUAUAACGGAAAAUGCUGCAGUGGACGACCAUGUUGCAAAU